CCUUAUGAUGGCGGCUCUAACGACAUCGUAGCGUCAUAAGGUUAUAGCGUUACUAGUAGGGUAAGAGGCUGAAACAGCGCAAUACAGGUGGCGAAAAUAGUGCCUGUGCCUCGCAAGACUGUUGGGU
rnacentral:sRNA from 12 species